AUACCGACACUUACUUAAUGGGCAUAGAGAGGGUUGUAUUUAUAUAGCUCAUCUACUCUCUCCCUUCCUUCUUCAUCUACUUGUUUAACAUCAUUAUUUUCCCUAAAGGUGAUGGCAUGGAUGUAGACAGGCUUGUAUAUAAAUAGCUCAUCUACUGUCUCCCUCCCUUCUUCUUCUACUUGUUUAACGUCCUUAUAGUUCAUAAAGGUGCAGGUAAACACUUAAUGGAUGUAGAUAGGCUUGUAUUUUUAGCUUAUCUAGUCCCUCUCUUCCUUCUUCUUCUACUUGUUUAAUGUCCUUAUUUUACGUAAAGGUGCAGGUAAACACUUAAUGGAUGUAGAUAGGCUUGUAUUUUUAGCUUAUCAAUUUCCUCUCUUCCUUUUUCUUCUACUUGUUUAAUGUCCUUAUUUUCCGUAAAGGUGCAGGUAAACACUUAAUGGAUGUAGAUAGGCUUGUAUUUUUAGCUUAUCAAUUUCCUCUCUUCCUUCUUCUUCUACUUGUUUAAUGUUCUUAUUUUCCGUAAAGGUGCUGGUAAACACUUAAUGGAUGUAGAUGGGCUUGUAUUUUUAGCUUAUCUAGUCCCUCUCUUCCUUCUUCUUCUACUUGUUUAAUGUCCUUAUUUUACGUAAAGGUGCUGGUAAACACUUAAUGGAUGUAGAUAGGCUUGUAUUUUUAGCUCAUCUAGUCCCUCUCUCUCUCUCUUUCUCUCCCGUUUAAUCUCCUUAUUUUCCCUUAAGGGUUUGGACAGGCUAUGAAUCUCUCUUUCUCUCACCUAAUUUAAAAGGGAGUCUUCACACACCUAGUACUUCAAACUCAACUAAUCCCCCUUGGACUCAUAUUUUUUUAUCAUUUUUUCUUGGUAUUAUUAUUUUUCCCAAUUUUUUUCCCUUUGUGUUGUUAUUUCUUCCUUUUUUUCUUUGUAUUUUUCUUUGUAUCAUGUAUUAUCCUAUUUUUCCCUAUUAUUUUCCCUGGU